rnacentral:rRNA from 1 species
CGGGGUACGGGGUACGGGGUAGGUAAGUAAUGUUCGGUAAAACCGUCCGAUGGAGGGGGAUAACUACUGGAAACGGUAGCUAAUACCGCAUAACGCCGCAAGACCAAAGAGGGGGACCUUCGGGCCUCUUGCCAUCGGAUGUGCCCAGAUGGGAUUAGCUAGUAGGUGGGGUAACGGCUCACCUAGGCGACGAUCCCUAGCUGGUCUGAGAGGAUGACCAGCCACACUGGAACUGAGACACGGUCCAG